GGCCCGUGCAUACUGGGCGCAGCUCACAGUUCUCUACAAAGGAAAAGUGCAACAGCCGAACUGCCAUACCCUUCCUGAAACAACAUUCGACCUAGAUUGUCAAACACUUAUAGUGAUAUGAUCUGCAGGGCGCCGACUGGCGGCAAACAAUACCCCACCACCGCAUGGCCUACUAGGAUCACCAAAACACCAACAUUCACGGCCCCCAGGAGCAUAGCGUCCAGGUGGCCAUGGAAACCGAUCUACGGACCCAUUCCGUCACUCUGCCAGACUGUCCGCCGGGCAAGGCGUCCCC